AUUGAACGCUGGCGGCAGGCCUAACACAUGCAAGUCGAACGGUAGCACAGAGAGCUUGCUCUCGGGUGACGAGUGGCGGACGGGUGAGUAAUGUCUGGGAAACUGCCCGAUGGAGGGGGAUAACUACUGGAAACGGUAGCUAAUACCGCAUAACGUCGCAAGACCAAAGUGGGGGACCUUCGGGCCUCACACCAUCGGAUGUGCCCAGAUGGGAUUAGCUAGUAGGUGGGGUAAUGGCUCACCUAGGCGACGAUCCCUAGCUGGGCUGAGAGGAUGACCGGCCACACUGGAGCUGGGACACGGUCCAGACUCCUACGGGAGGCAGCAGUGGGGAAUAUUGCACAAUGGGCGCAAGCCUGAUGCAGCCAUGCCGCGUGUAUGAAGAAGGCCUUCGGGUUGUAAAGUACUUUCAGCGGGGAGGAAGGCGGUGAAGUUAAUAGCUUCACCGAUUGACGUUACCCGCAGAAGAAGCACCGGCUAACUCCGUGCCAGCCGCCGCCGUAA
rnacentral:rRNA from 1 species